CUGCUUAAUUGCGAUAACGAACGAGACUCANCGUUAACUAGCCGGCUCGCCUUGGCGGGUCGGCUGGCGUUCUUAGCGAGACUUUGGCUUAAGCCAAAGGAAGUUGGAGGCAAUAACAGGUCUGUGAUGCCCUUAGAUGUUCUGGGCUGCACGCGCGCUACACUGACAGAGGCAACGAGUUUUUUUCCUUGGCCGGAAGGCCUGGGUAAUCUUGGUAAACUCUGUCGUGCUGGGGAUAGGGCAUUGCAAUG
rnacentral:rRNA from 1 species